GGAGCUGAUGUUCUACUUUGAGGGUCGUGCAGCUGGAGACCUGGAGAGGAGCUGAUGUUCUAGUUUGAGGGUCAUGCAGAUGAAGACUCGGGGAGGAACUGAUGUUCUAGUUUGAGGGUCUUGCAGCUGCAGACCUGGAGAGGAGCUGAUGUUGUAGUUUGAUGGUCUUGCAGCUGCAAACCUGGAGAGGAGCUGAUGUUCUAGAUUGAGGGUCGUGCAGCUGAAGACUCGGGGAGGAGCUGAUGUUCUAGAUUAAGGGUCAUGCAGCUGAAGACUCAGGGAGGAGCUGAGGUUCUAGUUUGAGGGUCGUGCAGCUGAAGACUCGGGAGGAGCUGAGAUUCUAGUUUGAGGGUCGUGCAGCAGAAGACUCAGGGAGGAGCUGAUGUUCUAGAUUGAGGGCCCUACAGCUGCAGACCUGAAGAGGAGCUGAUGUUCGAGAUUGAGGGUCGUGCAGCUGAAUACUUGGAGAGGAGCUGAUGUUAUAGUUUGAGGGCCCUACAGCUGAAGACCCGGAGAGUAUCUGAUCUUCGAGAUUGAGGGUCGUGCAGCUGAAGACUCCGGGAGGAGCUGAGGUGGUAAUUUGAGGGUCUUGCAGCUGCUGACUUGGGGAGGAGCUGAUGUUCUAGUUUGAGGGCCCUACAGUUGGAAAUCUGUACAGGAGCUGAUGUUCUAGUUUGAGGGUCAUGCAGGCGAAGAAUCGGGGAGGAGCUGAUAUUCUAGUUUGAGGGCCCUGCAGCUAGAGAUGCAGACAGGAGCUGAUGUUGUAGUUUGAGGGUCGUACAGCUGAAGAUUCAGGGAGGAGCUGUUCGUGUAUUUUUAGGGUCAUGCAGCUGCAGACCCGGAGAGGAGCUGAUGUUAAAGAUUGAGGGUCAUGCAGCUGAAGACUCUGGGAGGAGCUGACGUUCUAAUUUGAGGUCACUACAGGUGGACACCGAGAGAGGAGCUUAUGUUCUAGAUUGAGGGUCAUGCAGCAGAAGACUCGGGGAAGAGCUGAGGUUGUAGUUUGAGGGUCAUGCAGCUGGAGAACCAGACAGGAGCUGAUGUUCUAGAUUGAGCGUCGUGCAGCUGAAGACUUGGGGAGGAGCUGAUGUUGUUCGUUUUGAGGGUGUUUCAGCUGGAGACUCAGGGAGGAGCUGACGUUCUAGAUUGAGGGUCUUGCAGCUGCAGACCUGUAGAGGAACUGAUGUUCUAGAUUGAGGGUCACGCAGCUGAAGACUUGGGGAGAAGCUGAUGUUCUAACUUGAGGGUCGUGCAGCUGAGGACUCGGGGAGGAGCUGAUGUUGACAGCUGUGCAGCUGGAGAUCCGGCGGGGAGCUGAUGUUCCGGUUUGAGGGCCGGGGAGCUGAUGUUCCAGUUUGAUGGCCGUGCAGCUGGAGACCCAGGGAGGAACAUCAAACUGGAACAUCUGCUCCCCGCAGUGCCUCCAGCUGCAUGGCUCCCAAACUGGAACAUCGGUUCCCACCCGGGUCUCCAGCUGCACGGCCCUCAAACUGCAACAUCGGCUACCCCCGAGUCUCCAGCUGCACGGGCCUCAAACUGGAACAUCAGCUCCCCACCGGGUCUCCAGCUUCACGGCCCUCAAACUGGAACUUCAGCUCCCCACCGGGUAUCCAGCUGCAUGGCCCUCAAACUGGAAGUUCAGCUCCCCAUCGGGUCUCCAGCUGCACGGCCCUCAGACUGGAACAUCAGCUCCCCACCGGGUCUCCAGCUGCAUGGCCCUCAAACUGGAACAUCAGCUCCCCACCGGGUCUCCAGCUUCACGGCCCUCAAACUGGAACUUCAGCUCCCCACCGGGUCUCCAGCUUCACGGCCCUCAAACUGGAACUUCAGCUCCCCACCGGGUAUCCAGCUGCAUGGCCCUCAAACUGGAAGUUCAGCUCCCCACCGGGUCUCCAGCUGCACGGCCCUCAGACUGGAACAUCAGCUCCCCGCCGGGUCUCCAGCUGCACGACCCUCAAACUGGAAUAGUUUGAACUCAGCGGGGAGCUGAUGUUCCAGUUUGAGGGCCGUGCAGCUGGAGACCCGGCAGGGAGCUGAUGUUCCGGUUGUAGGGCUGUGCAGCCGGAGACCCAGGGGGAAGCUGAUGUUCCAGUUGUAGGGCCGUGCUACUGGAGACCCAGGGGUGGAGCUGAUGUUCCAGUUUGAGGGCCAUGCAGUUGAUGACCCGGCGGGGAGCUGAUGUUCAAGUUUGAGGUCUGUGCAGCUGGAGACCCGCGGGGGAGCUGAUGUUCCAGUUUGAUGGCCAUGCAGCUGGAGGCUCUGAUGGGAGCUGAUGUUGCAAUUUGAGGGCCAUGCAGCUGGAGACCUGGCAGGGAGCUGAUGUUCCAGUUUGAGGGCCGUGCAGCUGGAGACCCGGCAGGGAACUGAUGUUCCAGUUUGAGGGCCAUGCAUCUGGAGACCUGGGCGGGGAGCUGAUGUUCCAGUUUAAGGCCAUGCAGCUGUAUGCCCGGGGGGAACUGAUGUUGCAGUUUGAGGGCCAUGCAUCUGGAGACCCGGUGGGGAGCCAGUGUUGCAGGUUGAGGGCCGUGCAGCUGGAGACCCUGUGGGGAGCUGAUGUUCCUGUUUGAGAGCCGUGCAGCUGGAGAUCCUGUGGGGAGCUGAUGUUCCUGUUUGAGAGCCGUGCAGCUGGAGAUCUGGUGGGGAGCUGAUGUUCCUGUUUGAGAGCCGUGCAGCUGGAGAUCCUGUGGGGAGCUGAUGUUCCUGUUUGAGAGCCGUGCAGCUGGAGAUCUGGUGGGGAGCUGAUGUUCCAGUAUGAGGGCCGUGCAGCUGGAGACCUGGUGGGGAGCUGAUGUUCCAGUUUGAGGGCCGUGCAGCUGGAUACCCGGCAGGGAGCUGAUGUUCCAGUUUGAGGGCCGUGCACCUGGAGACCCGGCAGGGAGCUGAUGUUCCAGUUUGAGGGCUGUGCAGCUGGAUACCGGGGGUGGAGCUGAUGUUCCAGUUUGAGGGCCAUGCAUCUGGAGACCCAGUGGGUAGCCAGUGUUGCAGGUUGAGGGCUGUGGAGCUGGAGACCCGGGUUGGGGGGAGCUGAUGUUCCAGGUUGAGGGCCAUGCUGCUGGAGAUCCAGCGGGGAGCUGAUGUUGCAGUUUGAGGCGGUGCAGCUGGACAUGCAGGGGGGAAGUGAUGUUGCAAUUUGAGGGCUGUGCAGCUGGAGACCCUGUGGGGAGCUGAUGUUCCUGUUUGAGGGUUUCGGAGCUGAUGUUCCAGUUUAAGGCCAUGCAGCUGGAGACCCGGUGGGGAGCCGAUGUUCCAGUUUGAGGGCCAUGCAUCUGGAGACCCGGUGGGGAGCUGAUGUUGCAGGUUGAGGGCCGUUCAUCUGGAGACCCAGUGGGGAGCUGAUGUUGCAGGUUGAGGGCUGUGCACCUGGAGCCCCGGGGUGGAGCUGAUAUUCCAGUUUGAGGGCCGUGCAGCUGGCAAUCUGGUGGGGAGCUGAUGUUCCAGUUUGAGGGCCAUGCAGCUGGAGACCCGGCAGGGAGCUCAUGUUCCAGUUUGCAGGCAGUGCAGCUGGAGACCCGGCGGGGAGCUGAUGUUCCAGUUUGAGGUCCGUGCAGCUGGAGAUCUGGUGGGGAGCUGAUGUUCCAGUUUGAGGGCCCUGCAGCUGGAGACCCAUGGGGAUCUGAUGUUCCAGUUUGAGGGUGGUGCUGCUGGCGACCCAGGCGGGAGCUGAUGUUCUAGUUUUAGGGCCCUGCAGCUGGAGACCCGGGGAGGAGCUGACGUUCCCAUUCGAGGGCUGUGCAGGUGGAGACCUGGGGAGGAGCUGAUGUUGUUCUAAUUUGAGUGUGGUGCAGCUGGAGAUCCAGGGAUGAGAUGGCCCUGCAGUUCAAAUAUGAGGGUCCCGGAGCUGGACUCUACGUGAGGAACCAAUGCUGCCUCUGAUGUCUUAGGUUGUGGAGCUGGAAACUCGUGGAGGAGCUGGUAUUGGUGUUUCUAGUUGAGGGUUGUGGUAUUUCCAGGGUUUCACAAAGGCCAGAUUUUAUUUCAGUUACUGAGAAGAGAAAGAAAAUGUCUUCUGAAAGAGGUGAACUCAGUCAUUACCAAUAGAAAAAGUAUCCACUGUAUUUAUCUCUUAUACAAACAGAAAAAUAUAACAUUUUCCCCCUUAGAAUAAUAUAUAUAUAUAUAUAAAACUUAAGGUUCUAUUGUAUGUAUCCGAACAACAAAAUCUGGAAACCAGCAUGAAACUCUAUUAUUCACAUGUUAAAAUGUUGAAACUAUGACCAAAAUAUGAAAACUGCUGGAGCUAUCAGAAAGACACAAGACAAAAAGCUUCUUGCAUAUGUAUAAACUAAAUGUGAUAAUCUCAAAAAACUGUUCAAAAUUAUAAUUACUUUCCAGUUUAAAAACUUUAAUCCUAAAUUAAAAAAAAAAAAUCUAUACACAAACCACUGAUUUGCCCAGAGCAAAGAAAGAAAGAAAGAAAGAAAGAAAGAAAGAAAGAGAAAUCAGCGGUAAGGUAAGCAGGACCCAGAGGAGCUGAUAUUCACAGUUCUUACAUGUACAACUCUUUCAGGAAUUAUCCAUAAAGUACUUUAUUUUACAACCUGCUUUACUUGUAAAACUAAAGGUGCACUUUUUUACAUAAAAGUUUUAUACAGUGUUAAAACCAGAACUGUGUGUAAAAUACUGCAUGUAAAUGUUUCUAAAUAGUCUUGUUCCAGUGGUUCAUCGGUGACUUCUGUGGCUUCGUCAUCAUUAUCCAUGGAUGAUUCUGAAAGAAUCUCUCCAGUUUUACUGGAAUUGGAUCCUACUAAUUCUUCUGUUUCACGGCAGUCAGAAGAACCACUACUUUCAGGGCCUUCGUUUUCACUACCUUCAGAAUGUAGUAAAUCUUUCUCAGCUUGAGACACAUCAGAUUCCUCCAUUUCAUUAUUUUCCUCAGAAGUCUCUUCAUUCACAGUUGAGGCAUCAUCAGAUUCUUUUUCUUGGUUUUUUCUUUCUGGGACCAUUUCUCUUGAUGUCAUAAAAGACUCUAAAAAUAAGCAAAUGUUGUUGUACUUAAAUUUUAUAUUCAAAAUACCUCCACAGUUAAGUUUUGUGAAUUCUGAUGUUCUGUAGUUCAAAUCACAUCCCCUGAAAUUCAGCAGCAACUGCAUACAGGUGGGAGAAAAGCCCAGCGUCGACAUUACAAGGAGUUCCAUGAUGUACAAUUCUUUCACGAAAACAAUGAAUGCAAGAAUUUGAGGAUCUCCUUACUCCUCCCUUUUACAGAUGGUCUCUCAAUCCCUUCUUCUUCCUCUUCAUCUUCAUCUUCUUCUGAACGCGCUGCCGGGUACCACGGCUUUCUUUGUCUUUAUCGUGAGAUGAAGGUGAUGCUUCUGUUUCUUCUACCAUAACUGAAGAAAUUUCGCUGCAAGUCUCUUGACUGGCUGUUUCUCCGACUUCGCCUUUUUGUCAAACGUGAGUCUUUUUACCUCAUGCCCCUCAGCUUCCACAGCAUCUUCAUCUGGAUGUUUAUUUCUCAAAGGGCUCACUGAGGAAACUUCUGAUUCAGAUGUCGAAGAGUCACUGUGAGUUUUCUCUUCAUUUUGCUGCAAAUUUGCCUCUUUGCUGUCUGUGCUCUCAGGCCACCCAUUUGUUGUCAUGGGGGCUGACAGAGAAACCUUUGGUCGAUUACGUGGCCUGGGUGUCCCAGGCCCAUUUAUAUUAGACCUCUCAGUAUAGCUUGGUGCAUUUCCAGGAAACAUCACACCAUUCAUUCGAUUUAAACUAUUGGAAUUGUUUUUCUCUGAAGAAGGAUAAACACAGCUAACAACCAUCACGUUCUUUUCUACUCCUCUGAGAAAUUUGUCUGUUCCUGUAUAGUUUCUCCUUGGAUCUGUUAACAAUUCACAUAGUCGCUGAAUAGUAAAAGGGAUACGGUUAAAUCCAGUGACAGUUUUCAGUAUUCUUCCCUUUGUUUCAUCAAAGGGAAUAUAUUCGACUUUAGGGUUGGGAGGACCUCUUGGCGCAGGAGCUGAAGUUCUGAAAUCAUCUAUCACUUUCUCCAGUUUGAAAAUAAAAUAGCCUUUAAAUUGGGACCACUGAAUCUGUUUCUCCAGUCUUGGCUACAUGACAAAGGAACUGAUCCAGGACAGGACAGACUUUCUUUUUUGCCUCUUCUCAAAAUCUUCCAGCGCCUCCUGGAGCCUGUCGACGUCCAUGGCUUCCCAGAGUCCCUCACAGCCUCCGUCUCCCUCCGCGGGUCUCUUGGGGACCGGAACGCCUCCCCCCACCCCCCGACAUCCUCCCACUCCCUCGCACACCCUCCAGCACGCAGGCCAAGUGGGGUGGGGGGGAACGAAGGGAGCCAGGGGAAGCGUGUGAGAGAGUGAGACCGACAGAGUGAGCACCUCCCCAAGCCGCUACCACCAGCCCUCCAACAUGGCGCCUGGCACAUCACCCUAAAAAGUCAUUUCUUGGAGAAGCGAUGGAUGACAGAGAUUAAUCUGAGAGUUACUAUUAAUGGAGAAACUUAGAACUUACCAUUUUUCCUGUGAGGUUUCGGUGCUGAUACUUCUAUUCUGUGAGUUCUGGCAAUUGUGUCCGUUCACCCAGCCUGGUGAUGCAGCAGGUGUCACAGAAGGACCCUGUCCCAGCUGGUCCUGCUCCACUGCUAGGAUGGUGUGGCCUCUGAUCUGUGACCGUGUCUUGAGGGGAGACCAGGCCCUUGAUCACAAGCGUAUCCAUGGUGAGGUUCCGUGGAUGGAAGCUCAUGGAUGUUCCUUCCUGAUGUUCAUCUGCCACCAUGCUAUUGAAUGCAUCUUGUUUAUAACUGUCUUCUAAAUAUUGAAUAGAAAUAAAGCAUUUGUACAGUAUGGUUAAGGUAUAAAGAAUAUUGACACAUUGGACACAGAGGACCUCCACCAAGUUUAGGGAGUAGAAUCUGAAGAGACAUAGCUUUGGAUGCUCCCUGGAGGCCCUGCCUGAGUCCCAGUCCCUUCCCUUCUCCUACGGAGGGAAUCAUUUCCUGCUUUAGUCUUUAUUAUUUGCACACUUUCCUUCAUAGUAUGUUUCUUUCACCGUGUGUGUACAUCCCUAAAAGAUAUGCCAUUUAGUUUUUGAACUUUCUGUUUUCUUUUUGAGGCAGGGUCUUGCUCUGUUGCCUCGGCUGUAGUUUUGAACUUUGACGUGAGGGAAUUCUCCUGCGUGGCUGCUCCUGCACUGCAUGGCUCUGAGCACCUGCUCUGUGUCUAUUUUUGUCCUCCAUUCUCUCCCUGAGACCCACCCACACUGACAUGGCUCAUUUUCAUUGCUGCAUGGUCUCCCGUCGUCUGAGGGGAGCAUGGGAAAUGUCUUCAUCUUCCCGUGGAUGAGUGUUUGGCCAGGUUGGGGCCCUUAGGACUGUGUUUUGUUGGGAACGUUCUUGGGCAUUUCUUUUGUACACAGCGCAAGUUUCUUCUGGUCAGUAGCUUUCAAAUUUUAAAAUUUCAUCCCAGGUAAAAAUGUAAUUUUCCUCAUAACCCACAACACACACUCUUUCAUAUACAAGCAUAGCAGAAAUAUACUUCACAAGCGUUAGCAGUGCCUGUUGUUCCUGCUUCUCUCCAUUCUCCCCAACGCUGGCAUGGAUUGGGUUGUGGGAUUUUUGCCCGUCUGGUGGUUGUCACGUGAUAUCUCCCCCUGUUAGGCUGAGCCCCUCUUCAUGUUUUCAUUAGCCAUUCCUCCACAUUUCCUCUUCUGUGGAGGGCCGGUUCAGCUCUUUUGCCCAGUUUCUGUUAAGUUGUUUGAAUUUUUGCACUUUUCCUUUAUUAUUCCUAUUACUAUGUUUUUGAGACAGAAUAUCACUCUGUCACCCAGGCUGGAUGUGAUCUCAGCUCACUGCAACCUCCAUCUUCUGGGUUCAAAUGAUUCUCCUGCCUCAGCCUCCCAAGUGGCUGGGAUUACAGGCACACACCACCAUGCCCAGCUAAUUUUUAUAUGUUUACUACAGAUGGGUUUUCACUAUGUUGUCCAGGCUGGUCUGAAACUCCUGACCUCAGGUGAUUCUCCCACCUCAGCCUCCCAAAGUGCUGGGAUUAUGUGGGUGGCAAGCCACCCAGGCACCGAGGCAAGAGACAGAGGACACGAGCUGUUCCAGUAUAAUAAAAUAUAAAACAAGAAUAGUUAUGCCAGAUAUAGAUCUUAGAUAUGAUUAUAUAUGAAUAUCAUUAAUCAUUAGUUUGUAGCAAUUGCUUUUUAUUCCAAUAUUAUGAUAAUCCUCGCUCUAUAAUCAUAGUGUAGGAAAAACCAGGCCAUACAGAGAUAGGAGCUGAGGGGACAUAGUGAGGUGUGACCAGAAGACAAGAGUGCGAGCCUUCUGUUAUGCCCGGACCGGGCCACCAGAGGGCUCCUUGGUCUAGCGGUGAUGCCAGCGUCUGGGAAGAUGCCUGUUACCAGGCGGAUCGUGGUCCAGCAGUAGCAAAAGGUGUCAAGGAACAACACCCGAUACUUAGCAGACCAGGAAAGGGCGGGGGGGGGGGGGGUCUCCCUUUCCCCGGGGGAGUUUAGAGAAGACUCUGCUCCUCCACCUCUUGUGGAGGGCCUGACAUCAGUCAGGCUCGCCUGCAGUUAUCCGGAGGCCUAACCGUCUCCCUGUGAUGCUGUGCUUCAGUGGUCACGCUCCUAGUCCGCCUUCAUGUUUCAUCCUGUACACCUGGCUCUGCCUUCUAGAUAGCAGUAGUAAAUUAGUAAAAAUACUAAUAGUCCCUGAUAUGCGGAAAUAAUGGCAUAAGCUGUCUUUCUCUCUGUCUCCUCUCCCUCUCUGCCUCGGCUGCCAGGCAGGGAAGGGCCCCCUGUCCAGUGGACACGUGACCCACGUGACCUUACCUAUCAUUGGAGGUGACUCACAUUCUUUACCCUGCCCCUUCUGCCUUGUAUCCAAUAAAUAACAGCGCAGCCAGACAUUCGGGGCACUACUGUUCUCCGCGCAUUGGUGGUAGUGGUCCCCCAGGCCCAGCUGCCCUUUCUCUUA